rnacentral:rRNA from 1 species
UAAUGUAUGGGGAUCUGCCCGAGUAGAGGGGAAUAACUACUGGAAACGGUGGCUAAUACCGCAUAAUGUCUACGGACCAAAGCAGGGGCUCUUCGGGACCUUGCACUAUCGGAUGAACCCAUAUGGGAUUAGCUAGUAGGUGGGGUAAAGGCUCACCUAGGCGACGAUCUCUAGCUGGUCUGAGAGGAUGAUCAGCCACACUGGGACUGAGACACGGCCCAG